GAUGAACGCUGGCGGCGUGCCUAAUACAUGCAAGUCGAGCGAACAGGCGAGGAGCUUGCUCCUCUGACGUUAGCGGCGGACGGGUGAGUAACACGUGGAUAACCUACCUAUAAGACUGGGAUAACUUCGGGAAACCGGAGCUAAUACCGGAUAAUAUUUUGAACCGGAUGGUUCAAUAGUGAAAGACGGUUUUGCUGUCACUUAUAGAUUGAUCCGCGCCGCAUUAGCUAGUUGGUAAGGUAACGGCUUACCAAGGCAACGAUCCGUAGCCGACCUGAGAGGAUGAUCAGACACACAGGGACUGAGACACGGUCCAGACUCCUACGGGAGGCAGCAGUGGGGAAUCUUCCACAAUGGGCGCAAGCCCGACGGAGCAACGCCGCGUGAGUGAUGAAGGUCUUCGGAUCGUAAAACUCUUUUAUUAGGGAAGAACAAAUGUGUAAGUAACUAUGCACGUCUUGACGGUACCUAAUCAGAAAGCCACGGCUAACUACGUG
rnacentral:rRNA from 1 species